CAAUACUUGGUGGCGACCGGCGCACGGGUGAGUAACGCGUAUGCAACCUACCUAUCAGAGGGGAAUAACCCGGCGAAAGUCGGACUAAUACCGCAUAAAACAGGGGCACCGCAUGGUGAUAUUUGUUAAAGAAAUUCGCUGAUAGAUGGGCAUGCGUUCCAUUAGGUAGUUGGUGAGGUAACGGCUCACCAAGCCGACGAUGGAUAGGGAACUGAGAGGUUGGUCCCCCACACUGGUACUGAGACACGGACCAGACUCCUACGGGAGGCAGCAGUGAGGAAUAUUGGUCAAUGGGCGGGAGCCUGAACCAGCCAAGUCGCGUGAAGGAAGAAGGAUCUAUGGUUCGUAAACUUCUUUUGCAGGGGAAUAAAGUGCAGGACGUGUCCUGUUUUGUAUGUACUCUGCGAAUAAGGAUCGGCUAACUCCGUGCCAGCCGCGGC
rnacentral:rRNA from 1 species